AGUGAACGCUGGCGGUAGGCCUAACACAUGCAAGUCGAACGGCAGCACAGUAAGAGCUUGCUCUUACGGGUGGCGAGUGGCGGACGGGUGAGGAAUACAUCGGAAUCUACUUUUUCGUGGGGGAUAACGUAGGGAAACUUACGCUAAUACCGCAUACGACCUACGGGUGAAAGCAGGGGAUCUUCGGACCUUGCGCGAUUGAAUGAGCCGAUGUCGGAUUAGCUAGUUGGCGGGGUAAAGGCCCACCAAGGCGACGAUCCGUAGCUGGUCUGAGAGGAUGAUCAGCCACACUGGAACUGAGACACGGUCCAGACUCCUACGGGAGGAAGCAGUGGGGAAUAUUGGACGAUGGGCGAAAGCCUGAUCCAGCCAUACCGCGUGGGUGAAGAAGGACUUCGGGUUGUAAAGCCCUUUUGUUGGGAAAGAAAAGCAGCAGGUUAAUACCCCGCUGUUAUGACGGUACCCAAAGAAUAAGCACCGGCUAACUUCGUG
rnacentral:rRNA from 1 species